UACGUAGGUGGCAAGCGUUGUCCGGAUUCACUGGGCGUAAAGGGUGCGUAGGUGGCCAGGUAAGUUCGGUGUGAAAGCUCGGAGCUUAACUCCGAAAUGGCAUUGAAUACUAUCUGGCUAGAGGGUCGGAGGGGAGACUGGAAUUCUCGGUGUAGCAGUGAAAUGCGUAGAUAUCGAGAGGAACACCAGUGGCGAAGGCGAGUCUCUGGACGACUCCUGACACUGAGGCACGAAAGCCAGGGGAGCAAACAGG
rnacentral:rRNA from 1 species